GACGAACGCUGGCGGCGUGCUUAACACAUGCAAGUCGAACGGAAAGGCCCUUCUUUUGUGGGGUGCUCGAGUGGCGAACGGGUGAGUAACACGUGAGUAACCUGCCCUUGACUUUGGGAUAACUUCAGGAAACUGGGGCUAAUACCGGAUAGGAGCUCCUGCUGCAUGGUGGGGGUUGGAAAGUUUCGGCGGUUGGGGAUGGACUCGCGGCUUAUCAGCUUGUUGGUGGGGUAGUGGCUUACCAAGGCUUUGACGGGUAGCCGGCCUGAGAGGGUGACCGGCCACAUUGGGACUGAGAUACGGCCCAGACUCCUACGGGAGGCAGCAGUGGGGAAUAUUGCACAAUGGGCGGAAGCCUGAUGCAGCAACGCCGCGUGCGGGAUGACGGCCUUCGGGUUGUAAACCGCUUUCGCCUGUGACGAAGCGUGAGUGACGGUAAUGGGUAAAGAAGCACCGGCUAACUACGUG
rnacentral:rRNA from 1 species